GGCAGGCGGAUUCUUAACCCCUGCGCCACCAGGGAAGCUCCCACUUGUGCUUUUUUAAAUGGUUUGCCAAAUAAUCAUAAAUGAUUUAUUACCCUGCUUCAUAUUUUUAGUAAGUUUUCCAUACCGAAAUAUAAUGCAUGAGAUAAAUCAAUUUAAACCGAAUGAAUCAUAUUGGAAAAUGAUUUUGAAGAGGAGUUAUGUAGUCAUAGGAGAAAGAGCCAGUGCUCGAUCAUCUUAACCCUUAGUGGCAGGCAGUAGAGCCAAAUGAUGAGGGCGGUGAGUCGCCCUGUUACUGAGGGAUCAGCUGACCCUCUGCAAGUUCAGAGUCCCCUGAACAUUGUGUUCUGGCUAGUAAAUCAGACCUGCACAGUAGGCACUGCCCUGUGCCUUGAAAAGUGAGAAAAUACCACUGACUAUCAGCCAACUUGCUCCCCCUCACAAGACAGAGCCUUUUAAGGAGACAAAACCAGUAGUUGAGAUUGUGAAAGUUGACGGGCCACCUAGCACUAAAAUUAUUUUUUUGAGGUAUUGGGCAAGAUUCUUUAACAAAAAUCACAGUUUGUCUUUUGUUCUAACCUCAACCUAAUUUGGGUCAGAAGUUAUUAAAUUGUAGGAGGCUUUUGAGGGUAGAUGAGUGAAGCUAAGCACAAGUGAAACUGGUUUGAUUCUAGCUCUAUAGCAGUACGCAAUAAAGAAGCAUCCGCCGUAUGAGCCAGCCUCAAGCACGUACUGAAGGAUGCGUUCUGUGGGCCAGCUGCCGUGUCUGCACCCAAACUAAAGUGGCUCUGGUUGCUCGUUGUUUUGGUUUUUUUUUUUUUGCGGUACGCGGGCCUCUCACUGUUGUGGCCUCUCCGGUUGCGGAGCACAGGCUCCGGACGCUCAGGCUCAGCGGCCAUGGCUCCCGGGCCCAGCCGCUCCGCGGCAUGUGGGAUCCUCCCGGACUGGAGCACAAACCCGUGUCCCCUGCAUCGGCAGGCGGACUCUCAACCACUGCGCCACCAGGGAAGCCCUGCUCGUUUUGUUUUGAUAACUUUAUGAUUUAAAAUCAAAAGUUAAAAUCAACAACUUCCCAAAUAAGCCAAGAUAACACAAUAAGCCCAUAUAGGUAAAGUAGUUAAAGGAUGUUUUUCUGAGUUGGUUAUGUUGUUGAAAAGGUUAACUUUUCAUAAUUUGGUUUUUGGCUUGGAACUAUGACUGUUUGAGGCCACCAGUUGUAAACUGACUUGCUAAUAGCUUUGGGCUUUGAAAUUGAGUGAGUGUUGUAGGUUUCAGCAGUUUCUUAUAGACUGUGAUUGACCUGGUUAUAUAAUUUUUCAAGACAGCCUUGGAACUUCCCUGUACUGGAAUUCUUUUCUUCUCAGGUUCUACUGUCAAAAUGUGCUACAUACAGCUGUCAUAUCACCUUCUUAACAUGCAUCUUUUUUGACCCACCUCCAAUCCAACCUAUUCUUUCUCCGUUCAUCAUACUCACCAGGAUGUCUAGUUAUGCCUAUAAUACUUCACUUGGCAAAGUUCCUUUGCAUAUUUUAUUAAAGAGCAGUAAAAAUCCCACAUAUGUUCUUCAACUUCAGAUCAUACUGGUCAGUCUUUCUUUACCAUUUUUCCUCUCCUGUCAUUCGUUCACUUUGCUGCUAAAAUUUUAAACUUCGUUGUGUUUUUUCUUUAAAUCCAUUUUCCUGACCUCUCUCCUUGACUUCUAAGAACAUUUUACACUAAAAUACUCAUGCUCUUCAAAAUCUUACACAACCACGACCCAAACUACAUUACUAUUUUUGUCUUGAUUUUUGAGUUUAUUCCUUUUAAAAUGUAUUUGUUCAACAAAUACGAGUAUGUGCAAAGAACUUUUUUGGCUUCUUAUUCCCCAAGUUCUCAAAUAAAUUUGUUAUAUAUUUACUGUAGGUUCUGAGUGUUAUUUUCAAUUACAUCCAGCACUUAUAACUCUCCCUCAAGUACACCAUACUUGAUUCCUAAAGCUUCCAAAAUCUUGUUUUUUCUAGAAAUCUGAAUUUAGAUAGAAAUUUUCACAAAAACUAGAAGAUAGGAAGUUACUUUUCUGAUAGAACUCUUCUUUAUAGCCCUAGGAUGUUCUCAUUUAUUUUCUUAUACAUACUAUGGUUUCACUGUUUACUUCAAGUAUUUGCUCUGUAUUUUAUUUUGUUUGUAUCUUUAUUCAUAUCAGGGCAGAUUUAAAUUAUGAGUGUAAAUAUGGAACAUGUUUAUUUAGCCAAGCUGGCUCUAUAAUCAGAUGAGAUCACCUAAAGAAGAGUCUAAAGAGAGAACAGAGAGUGGUUUGGAGCUGAACUUUAUCCGUUCCUGAAGAUGCAGUCCUCAGAUCUCUCUAUCCUUCACCGUCCAAGCCAUUUUUCUCAGAGAUCUCACCCUUUUCUGUAACUACUUUUUUGCCCACGGCACCCAGAAAAUAUAAUUUUGACUCAAAUAGUUGUUAUUUUGCUUACUUAGCUACUUAGGAACUUAGCUAGUUCCUUACACAAGUACAGUUAAAUUUUAUACACAAAAAAAGAUUGAAAAUACCUACUGGAAUGUGAUACUCCUUGUAUAGUAGAUACAGGUUGAGUUUGCUAUUUGAGAACUCAUCCUAUGGAUGAAUAGACAAUAAGCUUGAUAGUUGCUAUACUUUGAAUUGGUUUAAAAUGAAAAAUAUUCCAUGGUUUAGAGAAUGUAAACUUCCAGGAGGGCAGGGAUUUAAUUUUUUUUUUUUUUUUUUUUUUUACUGCUACCUUCCCAGUGACUGCAACAGUACCUGGUGCACAGUGAGCACUCAAUAAAUAUUUGUUAAAUGAGUGAAUAUAGUCACCAUACUGGAUCGAUAUAGAAAAUUCCAAAGGCUGUCCUACUGUGGAAUUUAAAGUGUCUUUAAGUCACUUUAAUUGGUGUUAUUGCUACUUCCUCUAUUAACAGAGGAAUAGCCAAAUUUCCUCAAGUUUGGAAUAUAUGAUUUAAAAAAGAAUUCUAGGAUAGAACUUGGGGUUUUGGCUUUGGGGGAAGCUGUGCAGAUAUAAGUUUUUUAAAAUGCUGUAUUCUGACUUGUCCAGACAAGAGGGAAGACUCAUUUUUCCUGCUCCUUCCUGAUAAGUACAAUUACCAAUUCUGGAUAAGUAUGAUUAUAAAAUAAUGCAAGAGACAUCAGAAAGAAAACUCUGAAAGGUGUAAGGAAGAAAACAAACCAGCUAAGUACUCCCACAACUGGAGUGGGGCCAUAGUUACAGGAUGUCUUAUCACCUCCCACCCAACAGAAGAAGGUAACCCAGGCUUCGUGUUUUCUGACCACCAAGCUAGCAACAUAAGGGAGCCCAGGAUGGAACAGGGGUCCUGCUGACAACCAGGUGAGUCUGAUACAACCCUCAAGGGCAUUUUGUAGGGAUCCCCACUGGCAAGUGUCCAGGGGAAGCAUUACUCCCCUGGCAGGUCCAGGCUCCUCUCACUUGUUGAGAGACACUGAGCAACCAUGGAGCCCUGACAAGGGGCAUCCUGCCACAGGAGUGUCUGACCUAGAAGUUUUCAUCACCAUGGGCAGGGGGCUGUCUUCCCCCAACCUAGAGGUACCAGGUGACUCGUCUUGGGGAAAACUUCUUUCCCCUAAAGUAACACCAUCAAGGACCACUUUGAGCUCCAGCAGCACCGGAUAGACCAAGUUAACACUGCAAAGGCUCUGAAAUUUAAACUGCCACUGGAAUCAUAGACCAAAAGGUAGGCCAGGGCCUGCAUGCUAAACAUAAACAUAGUGACUGCCUGCUAAAAUAAAAGAUUAAAAUAGAACCCAGAGUCUUCUAACAUAAUAGAUGAAAUAUCCAGGAUAUAAUCUAAAAUCACCUGUCAUACCAAGAACCAAGCAAAUCACAACAAAUAAGAAAAGACAGCCAACUGAUGGCACCUCCAGGAUGAACCAGGUGUUGGAUUUAUCUGACAAAGAUUUUAAAGCAUCCAUCAUAAAAAUGCCUUAACAAGUAGUUACAAAUUCUUUUGAAGCAAAAAAUAGAAAGGCUCCCCAAGGAAAUAGUUAACAAAGAUUUUUUUUUUUUUAACGUUGAUAAAAAAACCACUAUGAUGUGCAUUUUUGUCCCAGUUUUUUUUAAAAAAGAAAUAAAGGCAAUUAUAUAACUGAAAAAUACAAUAGCCAAAAUGGAAAACUCAUUGGAUGGGUUCUAUAAUAGAAUGAAAAUGACAAGUGAUAGAAUCAGUGAACUUGAAAAUAAGCAAUAGAAUUAAUAAAUCUGAAUAACAAAGAGAAGAUGGGAAAAAUGAGACUCAGUGACCUCUGAGACAGUAAUAAAGAGCCAACAUUCAUAUAUUUGGAGUCCAAGAAGUAGAGGAGAAAAAAGAAUAGAGCUGGAUGAAUGUGCAAAGAAAUAAUGGAUGAAAACAUCUCAAAUUUAGCAAAGAAUAAAUACGCAGGUUCAGGAAGCUGAGUGUACCCCAAACAGGAUAAGCUGAAAGAAAUCCAUGCGAAGACACUUCAUAAUUAAACAUGUGAAAACUAAAAACAAAGAAAAAAAUUAAAGCAGCCAGAGAGAAGGGACAUAUUACUACAGCAGAACACAGCUUGAAUAACAGCAUGUUUCUCAUCAGAAACCACGGGGGCUAGAAAGAGGUGGCACAGCAGUGCUGAAAGAAAGAAACUGUUAACUUUCUGUGAAAGUUCUGUGUCCAGACUGUCCCACAGGAAUGAAGGGGAGAUAAUGAUGUUCUCAAAUGAAGCAAAACUAAAAGUGUUUGUUGCUAGGAAACCUACCCAUAACCAAUGGCUAUUGGACGUUCUUC
rnacentral:lncRNA from 1 species